rnacentral:rRNA from 1 species
AAGUUUAUGUAUUUGUUUAUAUUUAUUUGUUGUGUUGUAAGUAUUUGUUUUAUUAAAGUAUUAAUUGGUUAGUGUAUUUAUGAAAGAUAAAAUAUUUUUUAUUUUAGGUGAUUUGUACUGUGAGGGAUUAAUUGAAAUAUUAGAAGUUAUAUUGAUAAGUUGAUUUUAUUUAUUGUACCUUGUGUAUCAGGGUUUAUUAAGAAUUUAUUAUUGAUAUUAGUAUUCCCGAUUUUAGGAGAGUUAAUUAAUUAAUUUAGUUAUUGUUGAAUAAAUAUUUAUAAUAGUUAAUUGGUGGUGAGAUGUUAGUCGUUCUUAAGGGUAUCUGGUUUUUUAGGAAAUGAAUUUAAUUUAUGCGUUAUCUUUAAGGUGUUAUUUUUAAAUAACAAAUUUUUAGUUAGUGUUAAUAUUUUGGGGGAUAAGCUUCAAGAUAAAUUUUUAUAAUUCAUUAUUUUUUGUUGUUUAGUGUAUUGGAUUUAUAGGUGAUUAUUGUUAGGUGGAUGUUAAAGUUUUAUUUAAUUAUUAGUUUGUAUUUGUUUGGGAUUUAAUUUUAUACUGAAAAUUUUCAAUGAAUGUAUUUAUUGAUAGAUAUUAUGAUGAAAUUAGUAUAUCAGUUAAUUUGUGGUGGUUGUUAAUGUUUAUGGAUUGGGGUUAGGAAUUCGGCAAUUUAGUAUGUUCGCCUGUUUAACAAAAACAUCUCUUCUUGUAUAAUAUAUGAAGUAUAACCUGCCCACUGAUUUAAUUGAAGGGCCGCGGUAAUUUGACCGUGCAAAGGUAGCAUAAUCAUUAGUCUCUUAAUUAGAGGCUGGAAUGAAUGGUUGGACGAGAUGUGCACUGUCUUAUUUUGAAGUGUAGAAUUUAAUUAUUAAGUUAAAAAGCUUAAAUAUUUUAAUGGGACGAGAAGACCCUAUAGAGUUUAAUAUUUACAUUGAUGUUAAUGGUUUGUAUUAUUUGGUUUAUUAAUGUUAAUUAUUUUGUUGGGGUGAUAGGAAGAUUUAAUUAACUCUUUUUUUUGUUUAAUAUAGAUAUAUAGAAUUGUUGAUCCAUUCAUAUUGAUUAUAAGACUAAAUUACCUUAGGGAUAACAGCGUAAUCUUUUUUGAGAGUUCAAAUCGACAAAAGGGGUUGCGACCUCGAUGUUGGAUUAAGAUUGAAUUUUUGGUGCAGAAGUCAAAUAUAUUAGGUCUGUUCGACCUUUAAAAUCUUACAUGAUCUGAGUUCAAACCGGUGUGAGCCAGGUUGGUUUCUAUCUAUUAUUAUUAUCUGGUAUUUUAGUACGAAAGGACCAAAUACUAAAAAUAAUUUUAUUUUAGUUGACUAUUAUUAAUUU